rnacentral:miRNA from 1 species
GGUUUCUCUGUGUAGCCCUGGCUGUCCUGGAACUCACUCUGUAGACCAGGCUGGCCUUGAACUCACAGAGAUUCACCUGCCUCUGCUUCUUGAGUGCUGGGACUAAAGGUGUGCACCACCACCACCC